rnacentral:rRNA from 1 species
UACGAAGGGGGCUAGCGUUGCUCGGAAUCACUGGGCGUAAAGGGCGCGUAGGCGGCCAUUCAAGUCGGGGGUGAAAGCCUGUGGCUCAACCACAGAAUUGCCUUCGAUACUGUUUGGCUUGAGUUUGGUAGAGGUUGGUGGAACUGCGAGUGUAGAGGUGAAAUUCGUAGAUAUUCGCAAGAACACCAGUGGCGAAGGCGGCCAACUGGACCAAUACUGACGCUGAGGCGGCGAAA